rnacentral:lncRNA from 10 species
UGGACUUUAAGAAUUUUAAUUCCAUUGUAAAGAAUACAUUAAGCUGGUAAAGUGUCACUCCAAUUCUAUAAUUUCCCUCAUUUUGAGUCCUUCUGAUUUUAUUUGUCUUCUCAUGUAGAUUGCAUGAAGUUCUGAUAAAAAGAGAAUCUCUCAUUUCAGAAUUCAGAACUGGAGGUACGAAUUAGUUCCCCUGGUCAGGAUGAAUUAUAUAUAGUGAAUCAUCAAAAGUUCCCAUGAAGAUGUAGAAGUUGCAUCUUUCUCGAAUAUUAAAAGAGCUUUCUGCAUUAAGUAAAUUGCUUUGGAUAAUGUAUUCUUCUUUAUUUUAUUCAUUAUAUUUAAUUCUGUAAAACAAUCAGUGCUUCCAGAUUGUUUUAACUUUUCCGGACCCUUGGUAGAAAUAUCUUUGCUAACAGUUGGAGUCUGCAAAA